UACGAAGGGGGCUAGCGUUGUCCGGAAUCACUGGGCGUAAAGGGCGCGUAGGUGGCCUGUGGAAGUCUGCGGUGAAAGCCCGGCGCUCAACGCCGGGUCUGCCGUGGAUACUCUCGGGCUUGAGCUUACUAGAGGCAGAUGGAAUUCCGGGUGUAGCGGUGGAAUGCGUAGAGAUCCGGAAGAACACCGGUGGCGAAGGCGGUCUGCUGGGGUAAUGCUGACACUGAGGCGCGACAGCGUGGGGGAGCAAACAGG
rnacentral:rRNA from 1 species